ensembl:lncRNA
AGAAAAUGUAUUUUGGCCAGGCAUUAUAGUAUCAGUAAUUCCCUUUGGAAACCAAAUUUCCACUCUGUCAUCGUGCCUCUGAUGAUUAAGAACUGAGUCAGUUGAACGUGAUGCCUCUGGAAUGCCAACUGGCUGUGGAAAUGUGAAGAAGCCUGUGUGGUCACUGACACUUGAGCAGCACCCACAGCCCUGAAGAAAGGGCCAUCCCAAGAACACUUCCUGGGUGCUGUGUGAUGUCACAACCAGGUAGAGCACUGCUACUACUCUAAAAGGAAAAGAAUGUGGCUCCACCUUGCCAGGAAGAGGAAUCCGGCCAGCUUCCCACGGGCAAUUCUUUCAAGGAGUGUGGUGAGAAUAAAUAAGAUCAUAUCUGAAAACUGCAUACACCUGGAACUCAACAAGUGAUCACUGAGCACAAUUCUAUGGACUUCACAUAAUUAUUAGCUACUGCAUCUUUUAUGCUCCCAGGAGGCAGUGUCUAGAGUCUCCUGAUUGGAUUAAAGUCAAUGGACAGCCCCAGGACUUUCUAAAAACAGGGAAGACAAGGAGACUGCCUGGAAUGAUCUAUCACCUGAUCCCAUUGUGAUUUUAUAAGAGGAAAGUGCUUCUUUUCCAAGAACUCUUGAUAUUACUAUAGAACUGCUGUCACAUGUUGGCCACAUGACCCCAACACCACUUCCAACUGUUUGACCUGUUCCUGCCAAUUAUUGUUAUGCCUUCACACAGGUAAACAAGGUAUGAAAGGAUAAGUGCCAAAUUAAUUUUGAAGAAACUGGAUUCUGUUUAACCAGAUGCUAUCUGGCUUUUAAGUACACUCCUGCUAUUCUUAAACUCAGCAUAAGAGAAACUUUGAAUCCCCUAUCUCUUUUUCCAGGAAACAUUUGCAGCCCAUGCAGAUAAAAGGAGGAGGAGGAGAAGGAAGAAAAGGAGGACUAGCAGAAGGAAGAAGAGAAGAAGAAGGACAAGAAGAAGAUGAAAUGGAGGAGGAAGAGGGGAAGGAGGAGGAAAAGUCCUUUAGUGAAAACUGAAGCCCAGGUUCACUGAGCAUCUGAUUCAAGAUCGUGCAUCUAAUUGCUGACCAAUCAUUCCAGUUUGCCUGGGACUGCAAUACAGAGGGGAAAAGGAUUGGGGGAAAGGAAGGGAGUUCCCAGUGCUAAAACUGGGGAAGUCCUAGGUAAACCUCAACAAUCAAAGUGCCAAUCAGAGUCCACAGUAGCUCCUGACUCACAAACCUAGUGUUCUUUCUUCAAGGUCACGUUCCCUCACAGAGAAAGCUCUCCACUUUGAAGGGCCUUCUGAGCCUACUUUCCGAAGACUGCCCUCUGGAUGAGAAUUUUUCACAAUCCAAAUUAGACAGUAAGUUAAUUUUAUAACAUGAAUAAAUACUUAUAUUUCAAGACCUAGUAUUUUUUG